AGUUUUUUUAGAAAUAAAUUUAAUUUACAAAUUUUUGAUUUUUUGGUUAUUUAUUUAAUUGAAAAAUUUAUUUAUUUGAAUAUUUUAAGGGAUAAGCUUUAAAAUAAAUUAUUAAAAAUUAAUAGUGGUAAUAUAAAAUGUAUGCUUAGAAUUAGCAAUCAUUAUAAAGUUUGUUAUAAAUUAUUUUAUAAAUUAUAUUAUUUAUUAUAUUUUAAUUUAUUUAUAAAAAUUUUUUUAUGAAUUAUAUAUAAAAAGGAAUAAUGAUAGAAUUAGUAUAUUUUUUUGUUUAUGUAAUUUUGUAUGAUAAGUUUAUAUAAAGAACUCGGCAAAAAUUUUACCCGCCUGUUUAACAAAAACAUGUCUUUUUGAGUUAUUUUUAAAGUCUGACCUGCCCACUGAAGUUAUUUAAAUGGCCGCAGUAUUCUAACUGUGCAAAGGUAGCAUAAUCAUUAGUCUUUUAAUUGAA
rnacentral:rRNA from 1 species